rnacentral:rRNA from 1 species
UACGAAGGGUGCAAACGUUGCUCGGAAUUAUUGGGCGUAAAGCGCACGUAGGCGGCUUAGCAAGUCGGAAGUGAAAUCCCUCGGCUCAACCAAGGAAGUGCUUUCGAAACUGCUGAGCUUGAGUACUUAAGAGGAUCGCGGAAUUCCCGGUGUAGAGGUGAAAUUCGUAGAUAUCGGGGAGGAACACCAGUGGCGAAGGCGGCGAUCUGGGAAGAUACUGACGCUGAGGUGCGAAAGCGUGGGGGAGCAAACAGG